AUGUCCCUGGGACACACUGGGGUCACCUGGACACACUGGGGUCACCAGGACACAUUGGGGUCACCUGGACACACUGGGGUCACCAGGGACACACUGGGGUCACCAGGGACACAUUGGGGUCACCUGGGACACAGUGGGGUCACCUGGACACACUGGUUGUCACCAGGACACACUGGUUGUCACCUGGACACACUGGGGUCACCUGGGACACACUGGGGUCACCUGGACACACUGGGGUCACCUGGGACACAGUGGGGUCACCAGGACACACUGGUUGUCACCAGGACACACUGGUUGUCACCUGGACACACUGGGGUCACCUGGGACACACUGGGGUCACCUGGACACACUGGUUGUCACCAGGACACACUGGUUGUCACCAGGACACACUGGGGUCACCAGGACACACUGGGGUCACCAGGACACACUGGGGUCACCAGGGACACACUGGGGUCACCAGGACACACUGGGGUCACCAGGGACACACUGGGGUCACCAGGACACACUGGGGUCACCAGGACACAUUGGGGUCACCAGGGACACAUUGGGGUCACCAGGACACACUGGUUGUCACCAGGACACACUGGGGUCACCAGGACACAUUGGGGUCACCAGGACACAUUGGGGUCACCAGGGCACACUGGUUGUCACCAGGACACACUGGGGUCACCAGGACACACUGGGGUCACCAGGGCACACUGGGGUCACCAGGGCACACUGGGGUCACCAGGACACACUGGUUGUCACCAGGACACACUGGGGUCACCAGGGACACACUGGUUGUCACCAGGACACACGGAAUUCAUGCAAAGGUGCUCCAGGCAGUCCUGGCAGGGCUGGAUGGAGGGGGACGCAGGCUGCAGUGAAAUCCAGCCCCAGCCUUCCCUUGGCCUGUGGGGGCUGCCAGCCCCAGCCCCUGGGCCCGGGGCCCUCCCUGUGGGCAGGCAGAAGCACAAAGCUCAGACACUGAUUUUAUGGCUCCGGAGGUAUUUCCUCCGCUGGUUUCCAGCUGCAGCUGUGCCUCAGCUCAGCCUGUCCUGCUCCCAGCCCGGGGCCAGCUCUAACCAAAGGCAGCUUUGUGGCAGCCUCUGGCACACAGGGUCUGGCCCAGGGGGCCCUGCCCGGCUCAGCCCAGGGCAGGAACAGGGGAACAGCUGCUCAGGGUGCUGGUCUCUUCUCCGGAGAGCAGGGGGAGAGGAAACAGCUCAGGCUGAGUCACAGGGGGUUGGGGUGGGGUGUUAG
rnacentral:lncRNA from 1 species